rnacentral:rRNA from 1 species
GACGAACGCUGGCGGCGUGCCUAAUACAUGCAAGUUGAGCGCUGAAGGUUGGUACUUGUACCGACUGGAUGAGCAGCGAACGGGUGAGUAACGCGUGGGGAAUCUGCCUUUGAGCGGGGGACAACAUUUGGAAACGAAUGCUAAUACCGCAUAAAAACUUUAAACACAAGUUUUAAGUUUGAAAGAUGCAAUUGCAUCACUCAAAGAUGAUCCCGCGUUGUAUUAGCUAGUUGGUGAGGUAAAGGCUCACCAAGGCGAUGAUACAUAGCCGACCUGAGAGGGUGAUCGGCCACAUUGGGACUGAGACACGGCCCAAACUCCUACGGGAGGCAGCAGUAGGGAAUCUUCGGCAAUGGACGAAAGUCUGACCGAGCAACGCCGCGUGAGUGAAGAAGGUUUUCGGAUCGUAAAACUCUGUUGGUAGAGAAGAACGUUGGUGAGAGUGGAAAGCUCAUCAAGUGACGGUAACUACCCAGAAAGGGACGGCUAACUACGUGCCAGCCGCCGCCGUAAGAC